rnacentral:rRNA from 1 species
UGCGGCAGCUACACAUGCAGUCGRACGGUAGCACAGAGAGCUUGCUCUYGGGUGACGAGUGGCGGACSGGUGAGUAAUGUCUGGGAAACUGCCCGAUGGAGGGGGAUAACUACUGGAAACGGUAGCUAAUACCGCAUAACGUCUUCSGACCAAAGUGGGGGACCUUCGGGCCUCACACCAUCGGAUGUGCCCAGAUGGGAUUAGCUAGUAGGUGGGGUAAUGGCUCACCUAGGCGACGAUCCCUAGCUGGUCUGAGAGGAUGACCAGCCACACUGGAACUGAGACACGGUCCAGACUCCUACGGGAGGCAGCAGUGGGGAAUAUUGCACAAUGGGCGCAAGCCUGAUGCAGCCAUGCCGCGUGUAUGAAGAAGGCCUUCGGGUUGUAAAGUACUUUCAGCGGGGAGGAAGGCGAUGGAGUUAAUAGCUUCAUCKAUUGACGUUACCCGCAGAAGAAGCACCGGSUGGGGGCGGGGCRGSMRCCGCGGUAAUACGGAGGGUGCAAGCGUUAAUCGGAAUUACUGGGCGUAAAGSCGCGGGGGGGGGGGGUCUGUCAAGUCSGAUGUGAAAUCCCCGGGCUUAACCUGGGAACUGCAUUCKAAASUGGSAGGCUAGAGUCUUGUAGAGGGGGGUAGAAUMYUCGGUGUAGCGGUGAAAWYGCYUAGAGAUCCUGGAGGAAUACCCGGUGGGSAAUGCGACCCCUCGWCUAAGACUGAUCC